CUACGGGAGGCUGCAGUAGGGAAUAUUGGACCAUGGGCGAAAGCCUGAUCCAGCCAUGCCGCGUGAUAGAUGAAGGCCCUCUGGGUUGUAAAUAUCUUUUAUCUGGGAAGAAACAAUCUUAUUCUUAAGAUCUUGACGGUACCAGAGGAAUAAGCACCGGCUAACUCCGUGCCAGCAGCCGCGGUAAUACGGGGGGUGCAAGCGUUAACCGGGUUCACUGGGUUUGUAGGGGGGGUGGUAAGGCUGAUGUGAAAGCUCCGAGCUUAACUUGGAAACUGCCAUUGAUACUGCCAGUCUUGAAUGUCGUAGAGGUAAGCGGAAUGUUGCAUGUAGCGGUGAAAUGCUUAGAUAUGUUACAGAACACCAAUUGCGAAGGCAGCUUACUAUGCGAUGAUUGACGCUGAGGCACGAAAGCGUGGGGAGCAAACAGGAUUAGAUACCCGUGUAGUC
rnacentral:rRNA from 1 species